rnacentral:rRNA from 1 species
GAUGAACGCUGGCGGCGUGCCUAAUACAUGCAAGUCGAGCGAACAGACGAGGAGCUUGCUCCUCUGACGUUAGCGGCGGACGGGCGAGUAACACGUGGAUAACCUACCGUUAAGACUGGGAUAACUUCGGGAAACCGGAGCUAAUACCGGAUAAUAUAUUGAACCGCAUGGUUCAAUAGUGAAAGACGGUUUUGCUGUCACUUAUAGAUGGAUCCGCGCCGCAUUAGCUAGUUGGUAAGGUAACGGCUUACCAAGGCAACGAUGCGUAGCCGACCUGAGAGGGUGAUCGGCCACACUGGAACUGAGACACGGUCCAGACUCCUACGGGAGGCAGCAGUAGGGAAUCUUCCGCAAUGGGCGAAAGCCUGACGGAGCAACGCCGCGUGAGUGAUGAAGGUCUUCGGAUCGUAAAACUCUGUUAUUAGGGAAGAACAAAUGUGUAAGUAACUAUGCACGUCUUGACGGUACCUAAUCAGAAAGCCACGGCUAACUACGUG